CUGCUCCAUGAAAAUUUUAAAUAGCUGCAGUAUUUGUAACUGUACUAAGGUAGCAUAAUAAUUAGUUUUUUAAUUGAAAACUGGAAUGAAAGAUUUAAUGAAAAAUAAACUGUUUCUUAUUUAAAAAAUUAAGUUAAAAUUUAAGUAAAAAUUCUUAAAUUUAAUAAAAAGACAAGAAGACCCUAUAGAAUUUUAUAAAUUAUUUUAAAAUUUUUAUUUAAUAAUAAAAAAUUUAUAAAAUAUUUUAUUUAAUUGGGGAAAUUUUAAAAUUUAAUAAAUUUUUAAAUUAAAUUAACAUUAUAAAUGAAAUUAAAUAAUUUAAUUUAAAUAUAAUAUAAUAAAUUACCUUAGGGAUAACAGUAUAAUUUUAUUUUUUAGUUCUUAUAAAAAAUAAAUUUUAUAACCUCGAUGUUGAAUUAAAAAAAAAUAAAAUGAAAAAGAUUUAUAUUUUAAGUCUGUUCGACU
rnacentral:rRNA from 1 species